rnacentral:rRNA from 1 species
UACGAAGGGUGCAAGCGUUACUCGGAAUUACUGGGCGUAAAGGGUGCGUAGGUGGUUCUUUAAGUCUGCUGUGAAAGCCCCGGGCUCAACCUGGGAAUGGCAGUGGAUACUGGAGAGCUAGAGUGCGGUAGAGGGUAGUGGAAUUCCCGGUGUAGCAGUGAAAUGCGUAGAGAUCGGGAGGAACACCAGCGGCGAAGGCGGCUACCUGGACCAGCACUGACACUGAAGCACGAAAGCGUGGGGAGCAAACAGG